rnacentral:rRNA from 1 species
CACGUAGGCGGAUGUGUCAGUCAGGGGUGAAAUCCCGGAGCUCAACUUCGGAACUGCCCUUGAUACAGCACAUCUGGAGUCCGGAAGAGGUGGGUGGAAUUCCUAGUGUAGAGGUGAAAUUCGUAGAUAUUAGGAAGAACACCGGUGGCGAAGGCGGCCCACUGGUCCGGUACUGACGCUGAGGUGCGAAAGCGUGAGGAGCAAACAGGAUUAGAUACCCUGGUAGUCCACGCCGUAAACGAUGGAUGCUAGCCGUCAGCAAGCAUGCUUGUUGGUGGCGCAGCUAACGCAUUAAGUGCUCCGCCUGGGGACUACGGCCGCAAGGUUAAA